rnacentral:misc_RNA from 1 species
GCCUCGUCCUUGAAUUCCUCCCUGAAAAGAGUUAAACAUGUAUUAAUAGAAUGUGGGAAAGGCUAAAACUUUUUUAUGAUAAACCCAAAUUAAAAUGCCAAACAGAUCAACAGACUUCUUCUACACUGUUUUAUCGCAAUGAUUAUUGUUCAGAAAAGUAUAAAUAAAACUUUCAAUGUUUGAUCUCUGAACAUUAAUACUUGAUAGAGAAUUAGGGAGAUGUUUAUGCUUUGCACAGAAGUACACUUCUUGCCUGUCAUUAAUCAACCACACAAAGCUACAGAUUGAUAUUUUUCCCCAACAGAAUCACUUAAAUCUGAUUUAUCCAAAAACGUCUGUCUUCAGUCUUGUACCAAAAAACUAAUACCUCAAUUUCAGGGUUAUAAAUAAAAGAUCUUCUACAACCUUUGUAAGGAACCUUUUUUUUGUUUUCAGUCAAAUACCGAUACAGGACCUAAAUCAGCUCGAUUCCAUGCUGCCUACAAAAGUAACAGGUUGACAAUAGCAAGAUCACAUUAACAAGGCACCAAUGUUAUACCUCUUCUUUUGGGUUUCCA